rnacentral:rRNA from 1 species
GACGAACGCUGGCGGCGUGCUUAACACAUGCAAGUCGAACGGAAAGACCCUGCUUUUGUGGGGUGCUCGAGCGGCGAACGGGUGAGUAACACGUGAGUAACCUGCCCUUGACUUUGGAAUAACUUCAGGAAACUGGGGCUAAUACCGGAUAGGAGCUCCUGCUGCAUGGUGGGGGUUGGAAAGUUUCGGCGGUUGGGGAUGGACUCGCGGCUUAUCAGCUUGUUGGUGGGGUAGUGGCUUACCAAGGCUUUGACGGGUAGCCGGCCUGAGAGGGUGACCGGCCACAUUGGGACUGAGAUACGGCCCAGACUCCUACGGGAGGCAGCAGUGGGGAAUAUUGCACAAUGGGCGGAAGCCUGAUGCAGCAACGCCGCGUGCGGGAUGACGGCCUUCGGGUUGUAAACCGCUUUCGCCUGUGACGAAGCGUGAGUGACGGUAAUGGGUAAAGAAGCACCGGCUAACUACGUG